UACAGAGGUCCCAAGCGUUGUUCGGAUUCAUUGGGCGUAAAGGGUGUGUAGGUGGCGCCGUAAGUCGGGUGUGAAAUUUCGGAGCUUAACUCCGAAACUGCAUUCGAUACUGCGGUGCUUGAGGACUGGAGAGGAGACUGGAAUUCAUGGUGUAGCAGUGAAAUGCGUAGAGAUCAUGAGGAAGACCAGUGGCGAAGGCGGGUCUCUGGACAGUUCCUGACACUGAGGCACGAAGGCCAGGGGAGCAAACGGG
rnacentral:rRNA from 1 species